GACGAACGCUGGCGGCGUGCUUAACACAUGCAAGUCGAACGGAAAGGCCCUGCUUUUGUGGGGUUCUCGAGUGGCGAACGGGUGAGUAACAGGUGAGUAACCUGCCCUUCACUUUCGGAUAACUUCAGGAAACUGGGGCUAAUACAGGAUAGCAGAUCCCGCUGGAUGGAGGGGGGUGGAACGUCUCGGCGGGUGGGGAUGGACGCGCGGCUUACCAGCUUGUUGGUUGGGGAGUGGCAUACCAAGGCAUUGACGGGUAGCCGGCCUGAGAGGGUGACCGGCCACAUUGGGACUGAGAGACGGCCCAGACUCCUACGGGAGGCAGCAGUGGGGAAUAUUGCACAAUGGGCGGAAGCCUGAGGCAGCAACGCCGCGUGCGGGAUGACGGCCUGCGGGGUGUAAACCGCUUUCGCCUGUGACGAAGCGUGAGUGACGGUAAUGGGUAAAGAAGCACCGGCUAACUACGUG
rnacentral:rRNA from 1 species